CUUCCAAUAGUUUUUUUUUUCUUCAUUUUUUGCGUCUAGGAUUUCAGAACUAUAUACUUCAUAAGGUUUGUGUAGGCUUACCUUUGCACGAAAUUUUAAAACUGUGUAAUUCUCUCUCGUACAAGAUCUGUGCCUCGACACAAUCCUGUCUCGGAGGUUCUACGGACAAUUUCUUCAACCUCAUGGUUUGGGUUUUUGCUCUGAUAUGCACUGUCAACUGUGGGACCUUUAUAUAGACAGGUGUGAUGCCUUUACAAAUCAUGUCCAAUUGAAUUACCUUUACCAAUGGUGGACUCUAAUCAAGUUGUAGAAACAUUUCAACGAUGAUCAAUGGAAACAGCAUAGACUAGUGCUCAAUGUCGAGUCUCAUAGCAAAGGGUCUGAAUACUUAUGUAAAUAAGGUAUUUCUGUUCAUAAUUUUUUAUAAAUGUUCAAAAAAAUUCUAUAAACCUGUGUUCGCUUUGUCAUUAUGGGGUAUUGUGUGUAGAUUGCAGAGGAUUUUUCCCCCCCAAUCCCUUUUAUAAUAAAGCUGUGACAU
rnacentral:lncRNA from 1 species